rnacentral:rRNA from 1 species
GACGAACGCUGGCGGCGUGCUUAACACAUGCAAGUCGAACGGAAAGGCCCUGCUUUUGUGGGGUGCUCGAGUGGCGAACGGGUGAGUAACACGUGAGUAACCUGCCCUUGACUUUGGGAUAACUUCAGGAAACUGGGGCUAAUACCGGAGAGGAGCUCCUGCUGCAUGGUGGGGGUUGGAAAGUUUCGGCGGUUGGGGAUGGACUCGCGGCUUAUCAGCUUGUUGGUGGGGUAGUGGCUUACCAAGGCUUUGACGGGUAGCCGGCCUGAGAGGGUGACCGGCCACAUUGGGACUGCGAUACGGCCCAGAAUCCUACGGGAGGCAGCAGUGGGGAAUAUUGCACAAUGGGCGGAAGCCUGAUGCAGCAACGCCGCGUGCGGGAUGACGGCCUUCGGGUUGUAAACAGCUUUCGACUGUGACGAAGCGUGAGUGACGGUAAUGGGUAAAGAAGCCCCGGCUAACUACGUG